CAGAGUUUUUCCUGUUCUGACGAACGCGGCGGCGUGCUUAUCACAUGCAAGUAGAACGGUGACCUCGGAGCUUGCUCUCGGCGAUCAGUGGCGAACGGGUGAGUAACACGUGAGCAACCUGCCCCCGACUCUGGGAUAACCCCGGGAAACAGCAGCUAAUACCGGAUAUGAGAUGCACAGGCAUCUGUGGAGUCUGAAAGGUAUUUCGGUCGGGGAUGGGCUCGCGGCCUAUCAGCUAGUUGGUGGGGUAGUGGCCUACCAAGGCGACGACGGGUAGCCGGCCUGAGAGGGCGACCGGCCACACUGGGACUGAGACACGGCCCAGACUCCUACGGGAGGCAGCAGUGGGGAAUAUUGCACAAUGGGCGCAAGCCUGAUGCAGCGACGCCGCGUGAGGGAUGACGGCCUUCGGGUUGUAAACCUCUUUCAGCAGGGAAGAAGCGAAAGUGACGGUACCUGCAGAAGAAGCGCCGGCUAACUACGUGCCAGCAGCCGCGGUAAUACGUAGGGCGCAAGCGUUGUCCGGAAUUAUUGGGCGUAAAGAGCUCGUAGGCGGUCUGUCGCGUCUGAUGUGAAAACUCGAGGCUCAACCUCGGGCCUGCAGUGGGUACGGGCAGACUAGAGUGCGGUAGGGGAGACUGGAAUUCCUGGUGUAGCGGUGGAAUGCGCAGAUAUCAGGAGGAACACCGAUGGCGAAGGCAGGUCUCUGGGCCGCAACUGACGCUGAGGAGCGAAAGCGUGGGGAGCGAACAGGAUUAGAUACCCUGGUAGUCCACGCCGUAAACGUUGGGCACUAGGUGUGGGGCUCAUUCCACGAGUUCCGUGCCGCUAGCAAACGCAUUAAGUGCCCCGCCUGGGAGACGCCNNCCG
rnacentral:rRNA from 1 species